ACCCCACUGCUAUCGGGAUAGGACUAAGACAUGCUAGUCGUGCGCUUCCUAGCCAAUUUGGGAGCGCGGCACACAGCUCAGUAACACGUGGCUAACCUGCCCUUGGGACCAGAACACCCCCGGGAAACUGGGGCUAAUUCUCGAUAGGUGAAGAACUCUGCAAUGAGUCUUCGCUUAAAAGAGGCUGGGGUUAUGCUCUCCAGUUUCGCCCAAGGAUGGGGCCGCGACCGAUCAGGUUGUUGGUGAGGUAAUGGCUCACCAAGCCUUUUACCGGUGCGGGCCGUGAGAGCGGGAGCCCGGAGAUGGGCACUGAGACAAGGGCCCAGGCCCUACGGGGCGCAGCAGUCGCGAAAACUUUGCAAUAAGCGAAAGCUUGACAGGGCUAUCCCGAGUGCCAUCCGCUGAGGAAGGCUUUUACCCAGUCUAGAACGCUGGGGGAAUAAGGAGAGGGCAAGUCUGGUGUCAGCCGCCGCGGUAAUACCAGCUCUCCGAGUGGUGUGGAUGUUUAUUGGGCCUAAAGCACCCGUAGCUGGCUAGGUUAGUCCCCUGUUAAAUCCACCGAAUUAAUCGUUGGAUUGCGGGGGAUACUGCUUGGCUAGGGGACGAGAGAGGCAGACGGUAUUUCCGGGGUAGGGGUGAAAUCCUAUAAUCCCGGGAAGACCACCAGUGGCGAAGGCUGUCUGCUAGAACGCGCCCGACGGUGAGGGAUGAAAGCUGGGGGAGCGAACCGGAUUAGAUACCCGGG
rnacentral:rRNA from 1 species